CAAUAGCGUAUAUUAAAGUUGUUGCGGUUAAAAAGCUCGUAGUUGGAUUUCUGCUGAGGACGACCGGUCCGCCCUCUGGGUGAGUAUCUGGCUCGGCCUGGGCAUCUUCUUGGAGAACGUAGCUGCACUUGACUGUGUGGUGCGGUAUCCAGGACUUUUACUUUGAGGAAAUUAGAGUGUUUCAAGCAGGCACACGCCUUGAAUACAUUAGCAUGGAAUAAUAAGAUAGGACCUUGGUUCUAUUUUGUUGGUUUCUAGAAUUGAGGUAAUGAUUAAUAGGGAUAGUUGGGGGCACCUGUAUUGCGUUGUCAGAGGUGAAAUUCUUGGAUUUACGCAAGACAAACAGCUGCGAAAGCGUCUGCCAAGGAUGUUUCCAUUAA
rnacentral:rRNA from 1 species